rnacentral:rRNA from 74 species
CACACGACUCUCGGCAACGGAUAUCUCGGCUCUCGCAUCGAUGAAGAACGUAGCGAAAUGCGAUACCUGGUGUGAAUUGCAGAAUCCCGCGAACCAUCGAGUCUUUGAACGCAAGUUGCGCCCGAGGCCAUCCGGCCGAGGGCACGCCUGCCUGGGCGUCACG